rnacentral:lncRNA from 1 species
CAUGUAAUGGCUGGGCUUGAUUUGCAUCCUGUUCAGCUUUGCCCAUGGAAGUCUCAGGAAUGGGUAAGUGCUCCUGCUCCCACACAGUCUACAGACCUGGGUGCAAUGGUGAGAAAGACCUCAGUAAAGCAAAGGAAUUACGAAAGGGAGAGGGUAGAAGAUAAAGUACAUAAUAGUUUCCUGAAGCAGCAGAAUGAAAGAACUCUCUGUGGCAUGAAAAUUUACUGUUCGGAAUCACACCGUCAGUUCUCCUGGUUCUCAACCCUUCAGAGACAGACUGAAUUACACCACCAGCUUUCUUGGUUCUCCAGGAUGCAGAUGGCAUUAACAUGAGACUCCUUUACCUCCAUGACUGUGGAGGCAGCAGCUGAGGCUGUGGUGGGAGAAGAAUGACAAGAACUGAGCGUGGGCCACGGGCUCUUACCUUCAGCAACUUCAUCAGCUCUUCCAGCUGGACCAUCAGCUCCCGCCUGCUCUCCUGCAGGGCCGACAUCCUCUGCUCCAGUUCAUCCUUCCUUUGCCUAUCCAAGACGAAAGAUGGAUCUAAGGCCAGGUGAAAUGGAUUUCAGACCUGAUCCUGCUACUUACCAGUUAUGAGACGCUGAGCAAGUCAUUUAGCAUCCAAUACCUCAUAAAAUGGUGAUAAUGUCUGUUUUGCCUACUUCCUGGACUGUUCUGAGAAUAAUAGGGGAAGUUCCCAGGUCCAGUGAGCAACUCGGGGGUUGUAGCAUCUAGAGCAAAAGAUGCCCAGAAAAAAAACUAAAGCUGAAGGCCUCUUAAUUGAUCUCUACUUAGUGAGCAUAGCAGGAAAACCAAGUUGAAUGAGUUGGAGACUCCAUAGAGAUGGGCUUCUAGAAUAAAAUGGCACUGACUUAGCUGAAGGACUGAAAAAGGAAGCUGAACUUGCAACAUGUGAGAACAUUUUGUGCAAAGGAGACAACCUGGAGCUCCAGAGGACCUACACUCAGUGAAUGGGCUUGGUCCUACA